GAUCGCUCGCGAUGUCUUAACUUAGAAACCAAUUAGACUACAUGAUAAAUAGAGCACUAAUUUAGGAUCCUAGUUAGGGCGGCAGUAAAGCCACCCUAGACCCUCCCAGGGGGACUAGGGUGACUAGACCAGGACACACCUCCUCUCCCCACUUGGACUAUGCCUAUGAUAACAAGUUGAUUGCAAUACAUUUUUAAGAUAAAAAGUAGAUCUUAUGUACACAAAAGUUGGCUACUCCCAGUAUAAAUGAAUGUCAUCAAAGAUCAGCUCUAAGGCUGGUACUAAACGAGUCGAUUUCACUGCGCAUUCACACCUAGGAAUGACUGUUAGAAAAAUUUUUGUCGCUGUUGUGUCACUAUCGUGUCCCUUCGAAAUUGCGCUACAUUGUCUUUGGGCCGUGGCUGGCGACAAAAGCCAUAUCCAGCAAGUUGGAUAUUUCAGGCGACAGACAUGCAGUUCAGACCAAGUGUGCGCAGGAAAAUCGAAGUAAUGGAUGACGUUGAAACUUGAAACAAGGUAGUCGAUACUGAUUGG
rnacentral:lncRNA from 1 species